GAGACCCCAGGAUGGGCGAGGCCACCCGCCGAGUUUAAG
rnacentral:rRNA from 2 species